GAAAUACUCCCUCCGUUCGAAAAUACUUGUCGGAGAAAUGGAUAAAAAUGAACGUAUCAAGAACUAAAAUAUGUCUAGAUACAUCCAUUCCCCUGACAAGUAUUUUCAGACGGAGGGAGUAUGUA
rfam:Triticum urartu cultivar G1812 contig1020938, whole genome shotgun sequence.